CGAGUGCUUGUCGACAAAACACGACUUCUGGGUGUAAAUUACCAACAAAGCCGAGAUCAAAGCCGUGUAAGCGUCCCCGAACAGACUGCCUGCAGCAACCACGUAGCUGCUGACGCAAAGCUCGUAGCUGCUGCUGCAAACC